UACGGGGGGAGCAAGCGUUGUUCGGAUUUACUGGGCGUAAAGGCGCGUAGGCGGCCACCGCAAGUCGACUGUGAAAUCUCCGGGCUUAACCCGGAAAGGUCAGCCGAUACUGCGGGGCUAGAGUGCAGAAGGGGCAACUGGAAUUCUCGGUGUAGCGGUGAAAUGCGUAGAUAUCGAGAGGAACACCUGCGGCGAAGGCGGGUUGCUGGGCUGACACUGACGCUGAUGCGCGAAAGCUAGGGAGCGAAG
rnacentral:rRNA from 1 species